GAGAAAUGAGGAUAAAUGAAUGAAUCUUGAUUCUUCUAAUGAAGACUUCAGAUCCAACUCUGAUCUCACCAGAGCU
ensembl:snoRNA